rnacentral:rRNA from 1 species
GGGUCAGUAGGCUGGUCGUGCCACCGGUACGUACUGGUCUCACUGAUUCCUCCUUCCUGAAGAACCGUAAUGCCAUUAAUUUGGUGUUGCGGGGAAACAGGACUGUUACAUUGAAAAAAUUAGAGUGUUUAAAGCAAGCUAACGCUUGAAUACAUUAGCAUGGAAUAAAGAAAGAGGACGAUCGAUCCUAUUUUGUUGGUUUCUAGGAUUGACGUA